CGUAUUGUAACUCAGUGGUAGAGCUCUUUCCUGGCAUGCAGGAGACCUUGGGUUUGAUUCCCAGCACUGCCA
rnacentral:tRNA from 1 species